rnacentral:rRNA from 1 species
UGCAAGUCGAACGGUAACAGGAAGCAGCUUGCUGCUUCGCUGACGAGUGGCGGACGGGUGAGUAAUGUCUGGGAAACUGCCUGAUGGAGGGGGAUAACUACUGGAAACGGUGGCUAAUACCGCAUAACGUCGCAAGACCAAAGAGGGGGACCUUCGGGCCUCUUGCCAUCAGAUGUGCCCAGAUGGGAUUAGCUUGUUGGUGAGGUAACGGCUCACCAAGGCGACGAUCCCUAGCUGGUCUGAGAGGAUGACCAGCCACACUGGAACUGAGACACGGUCCAGACUCCUACGGGAGGCAGCAGUGGGGAAUAUUGCACAAUGGGCGCAAGCCUGAUGCAGCCAUGCCGCGUGUAUGAAGAAGGCCUUCGGGUUGUAAAGUACUU